rnacentral:rRNA from 1 species
GAUGAACGCUGGCGGCGUGCUUAACACAUGCAAGUCGAACGGUGAAAGUGGGAGCUUGCUCCUGCUGGAUCAGUGGCGAACGGGUGAGUAACACGUGAGCAAUCUGCCCCGAACUCUGGGAUAAGCGUUGGAAACGACGUCUAAUACCGGAUACGAGACGCGAAGGCAUCUUCAGCGUCUGGAAAGAACUUCGGUUCGGGAUGAGCUCGCGGCCUAUCAGCUAGUUGGUGAGGUAAUGGCUCACCAAGGCGACGACGGGUAGCCGGCCUGAGAGGGUGACCGGCCACACUGGGACUGAGACACGGCCCAGACUCCUACGGGAGGCAGCAGUGGGGAAUAUUGCACAAUGGGCGCAAGCCUGAUGCAGCAACGCCGCGUGAGGGACGACGGCCUUCGGGUUGUAAACCUCUUUUAGUAGGGAAGAAGCGAAAGUGACGGUACCUGCAGAAAAAGCACCGGCUAACUACGUGCCAGCCGCCGCAGUAACAC